GGGGAAUAUUGCACAAUGGGCGAAAGCCUGAUGCAGCGACGCCGCGUGAGUGAAGAAGGCCUUCGGGUCGUAAAACUCUGUCCUAAGGGACGAUAAUGACGGUACCUUAGGAGGAAGCCCCGGCUAACUACGUGCCAGCAGCCGCGGUAAUACGUAGGGGGCGAGCGUUGUCCGGAAUUACUGGGCGUAAAGGGUGCGUAGGCGGCUCAUUAAGUCAGAUGUGAAAGGCUACGGCUCAACCGUAGUAAGCAUUUGAAACUGAUGAGCUUGAGUUAAGGAGAGGAAAGUGGAACUCCUAGUGUAGCGGUGAAAUGCGUAGAUAUUAGGAGGAAUACCAGUGGCGAAGGCGACUUUCUGGCCUUUAACUGACGCUGAGGCACGAAAGCGUGGGGAGCAAAC
rnacentral:rRNA from 1 species